UUGUAAUUGUAUUUUAUAGCCCGGAUAUGGAA
rnacentral:scRNA from 1 species